GUUUUUCCAGUAAAGGGUAACUAACUGGCCUGGGAGGAAAAGCGCACUGCAGCAGGAUGAGCAAGCCCGUGCCAACCGGAACUGCCAGGGCUGCCCCACGGUGGCAACCUGCUAGCCACCACCUGUCCAGCCACCUGCCUGAGGAAGCCCUUCCAACAAGGAGGGUUCACCUGGGCAAGAAACCAUACGCAGUUCUCAAGAGGAACCAGAAAGGGAAAGCAAAGGGUGCAACUUUAUUCUUAGGGAAAGACAACAAAAAGACAUGUGUCUCUGUGCGUGCACUGCAUCCCGAGCGGCUGGAGUUCUCCACGGAGAGAGUUCUGUGCCCAGCGGGGGUGAGGACCCCGCAGCGGGCUGGGCAGUGGAGGGUGAGCCUGACACAGGUGAGUACGGGAAGCUGCACCCGGUGCUGAGACCUACAGACCCCCAGGCCUCGGGGAGCACGCGCCUGCGGCCCCCGCAGCGGUCCCCGCAGCGGCCCCAGCAGCACGCCGGGCCUCGGUCUCCUCAGCGGCGGCGCCCACCUGCGCCCAGUCCCCGCAGACCCGUCCCCGCGGCCCCGUCCUCGCGGCCCGGUCCCCGCGGUCCGUUAAGCCGCGGCGCGCUCGGCCCCGUAGCAGCGACCGCAGGACCUCGGGCCCGGCAGGGCCUGGGCGGCCGCUUGCACACGGUCACGGGCCUCGACAGGGACCGCGGCGUGAGGGGCGCGCGCCCGGCCGACGCCGCGGGCUCACCUUCUGCCGGAUCUGGCCCGACGUGGACACCUUACGGAUAAGCUUCUGCGGGGAGCCCGGCUCAGCCUCGGGUUCGCUGUCGGACGACUCCUCAGGCGGCGGCGGCGGAG
rnacentral:lncRNA from 1 species